rnacentral:rRNA from 1 species
CCUACGGGUGGCAGCAGUGGGGAAUAUUGGACAAUGGGGGGAACCCUGAUCCAGCCAUGCCGCGUGUGUGAAGAAGGCCCUCGGGUUGUAAAGCACUUUCAGUGAGGAAGAACGCCUGGUGGUUAAUACCCAUCAGGAAAGACAUCACUCACAGAAGAAGCACCGGCUAACUACGUGCCAGCAGCCGCGGUAAUACGGAGGGUGCGAGCGUUAAUCGGAAUUACUGGGCGUAAAGCGCGCGUAGGUGGCUUGAUAAGCCGGUUGUGAAAGCCCCGGGCUCAACCUGGGAACGGCAUCCGGAACUGUCAAGCUAGAGUGCAGGAGAGGAAGGUAGAAUUCCCGGUGUAGCGGUGAAAUGCGUAGAGAUCGGGAGGAAUACCAGUGGCGAAGGCGGCCUUCUGGACUGACACUGACACUGAGGUGCGAAAGCGUGGGUAGCAAACAGGAUUAGAUACCCCGGUAGUC